GAUGAAGAACGCAGCGAAAUGCGAUAAGUAAUGUGAAUUGCAGAAUUCAGUGAAUCAUCGAAUCUUUGAACGCACCUUGCGCUCCUUGGUAUUCCGAGGAGCAUGCCUGUUUGAGUGUCAUGAAAUUCUCAACCUUUUCAGCUUUCUUUGUUGAUCAGGCUUGGAUGUGGGAGAAUGCGGGCUUCUCAGAAGUCGGCUCUCCUGAAAUGCAUUAGCGGGACCUUUGUUGCCUGGCUUUGGUGUGAUAAUUAUCUACGCCAUUGUAGUCAAGCAGCUUAAAAUGAGGUUUCAGCUUCUAACCGUCUCCCCUGAGACAACUUUUUGACAAUUUGACCUCAAAUCAGGUAGGACUACCCGCUGAACUUAAGCAUAUCAAUAAGCGGAGGA
rnacentral:misc_RNA from 1 species